rnacentral:rRNA from 1 species
GACGGAGGGUGCAAGCGUUGUUCGGAAUCACUGGGCGUAAAGCGCGUGUAGGCGGUUUGAUUAGUCGAGUGUGAAAGCCCAAGGCUUAACUUUGGAAGUGCACUCGAAACUGUCAGGCUUGAGUACGGGAGAGGGAAGUGGAAUUCCUGGUGUAGAGGUGAAAUUCGUAGAUAUCAGGAGGAACACCGGUGGCGAAGGCGGCUUCCUGGACCGAUACUGACGCUGAGACGCGAAAGCGUGGGGAG